rnacentral:rRNA from 1 species
GACGAACGCUGGCGGCCUGCCUAAUACAUGCAAGUUGAGCGCUGAAGGUUGGUACUUGUACCAACUGGAUGAGCAGCGAACGGGUGAGUAACGCGUGGGGAAUCUGCCUUUGAGCGGGGGACAACAUUUGGAAACGAAUGCUAAUACCGCAUAAAAACUUUAAACACAAGUUUUAAGUUUGAAAGAUGCAAUUGCAUCACUCAAAGAUGAUCCCGCGUUGUAUUAGCUAGUUGGUGAGGUAAAGGCUCACCAAGGCGAUGAUACAUAGCCGACCUGAGAGGGUGAUCGGCCACAUUGGGACUGAGACACGGCCCAAACUCCUACGGGAGGCAGCAGUAGGGAAUCUUCGGCAAUGGACGAAAGUCUGACCGAGCAACGCCGCGCGAGUGAAGAAGGUUUUCGGAUCGUAAAACUCUGUUGGUAGAGAAGAACGUUGGUGAGAGUGGAAAGCUCAUCAAGUGACGGUAACUACCCAGAAAGGGACGGCUAACUACGUG